UUACAGAAACCAACUGCUACUGGAAAAGUGGGUUAGGUUAGGUUAGAACUGCGACCUUUACAGAAACCAACUGUUGCUAGAAAAGUGGGUUAGGUUAGAACUGCGACCUUCACAGAAACCAACUGCUACUAGAAAAAUCGGUUAGGUUAGAACUGCGACCUUCACAGAAACCAACUGCUACUAGAAAAGUGGGUUAGGUUAGAACUGCGACCUUUACAGAAACCAACUGUUGCUAGAAAAGUGGGUUAGGUUAGAACUGCGACCUUCACAGAAACCAACUGCUACUAGAAAAAUCGGUUAGGUUAGAACUGCGACCUUCACAGAAACCAACUGCUACUAGAAAAGUGGGUUAGGUUAG